CCUACGGGAGGCAGCAGUGGGGAAUAUUGGACAAUGGGCGCAAGCCUGAUCCAGCAAUGCCGCGUGAGUGAUGAAGGCCUUAGGGUUGUAAAGCUCUUUUACCAGGGAUGAUAAUGACAGUACCUGGAGAAUAAGCUCCGGCUAACUCCGUGCCAGCAGCCGCGGUAAUACGGAGGGAGCUAGCGUUGUUCGGAAUUACUGGGCGUAAAGCGUACGUAGGCGGUUAUUCAAGUCAGAGGUGAAAGCCCGGGGCUCAACCCCGGAACUGCCUUUGAAACUAGGUAGCUAGAAUCUUGGAGAGGUCAGUGGAAUUCCGAGUGUAGAGGUGAAAUUCGUAGAUAUUCGGAAGAACACCAGUGGCGAAGGCGACUGACUGGACAAGUAUUGACGCUGAGGUACGAAAGCGUGGGGAGCAAACAGGAUUAGAUACCCUAGUAGUCCACGCCGUAAACGAUGAUAACUAGCUGUCCGGUCACUUGGUGACUGGGUGGCGCAGCUAACGCAUUAAGUUAUCCGCCUGGGGAGUACGGUCGCAAGNUUAAAACUCAAAGAUAUAGCGNGNGAGAGCGACGACGACGACGACGGAGGAGGAG
rnacentral:rRNA from 1 species